rnacentral:rRNA from 1 species
GACGAACGCUGGCGGCGUGCUUAACACAUGCAAGUCGAACGGAAAGGCCCUGCUUUUGUGGGGUGCUCGAGUGGCGAACGGGUGAGUAACACGUGAGUAACCUGCCCUUGACUUUGGGAUAACUUCAGGAAACUGGGGCUAAUACCGGAUAGGAGCUCCUGCUGCAUGGUGGGGGUUGGAAAGUUUCGGCGGUUGGGGAUGGACUCGCGGCUUAUCAGCUUGUUGGUGGGGUAGUGGCUUACCAAGGCUUUGACGGGUAGCCGGCCUGAGAGGGUGACCGGCCACAAUGGGACUGAGAUACGGCCCAGACUCCUACGGGAGGCAGCAGUGGGGAAUAUUGCACAAUGGGCGGAAGCCUGAUGCAGCAGCGCCGCGUGCGGGAUGACGGCCUUCGGGUUGUAAACCGCUUUCGCCUGUGACGAAGCGUGAGUGACGGUAAUGGGUAAAGAAGCACCGGCUAAAUACGUG